GGACUGAGAUACGGCCCAAACUCCUACGGGAGGCAGCAGUGGGGAAUAUUGCACAAUGGGCGGAAGCCUGAUGCAGCAACGCCGCGUGCGGGAUGACGGCCUUCGGGUUGUAAACCGCUUUCAGCAGGGACGAAGCGUGAGUGACGGUACCUGCAGAAGAAGCACCGGCUAACUACGUGCCAGCAGCCGCGGUGAUACGUAGGGUGCGAGCGUUGUCCGGAUUUAUUGGGCGUAAAGAGCUUGUAGGCGGUUUGUUGCGUCGGAAGUGAAAACUCAGGGCUUAACUCUGAGCCUGCUUUCGAUACGGGCAGACUUGAGGAAGGUAGGGGAGAAUGGAAUUCCUGGUGAAGCGGUGGAAUGCGUAGAUAUCAGGAGGAACACCAGUGGCGAAGGCGGUUCUCUGGACCUUUCCUGACGCUGAGAAGCGAAAGCGUGGGGAGCAAACAGGCUUAGAUACCCUGGUAGUCCACGCCGUAAACGGUGGGUACUAGGUGUGGGGGACAUUCCACGUUCUCCGUGCCGCAGCUAACGCAUUAAGUACCCCGCCUGGGGAGUACGGCCGCAAGGCUAAAACUCAAAGGAAUUGACGGGGCCCCGCACAAGCGGCGGAGCAUGCGGAUUAAUUCGAUGCAACGCGAAGAACCUUACCUGGGUUUGACAUAUGCCGGAAACAUCCAGAGAUGGAUGCCCCUUUUUGGUCGGUUUACAGGUGGUGCAUGGCUGUCGUCAGCUCGUGUCGUGAGAUGUUGGGUUAAGUCCCGCAACGAGCGCAACCCUCGUCCUAUGUUGCCAGCGGGUCAUGCCGGGGACUCAUAGGAGACCGCCGGGGUCAACUCGGAGGAAGGUGGGGAUGACGUCAAGUCAUCAUGCCCCUUAUGUCCAGGGCUUCACGCAUGCUACAAUGGCCGGUACAAAGAGUUGCGAGCCUGUGAGGGUGAGCGAAUCUCAAAAAGCCGGUCUCAGUUCGGAUUGGGGUCUGCAACUCGACCCCAUGAAGUCGGAGUCGCUAGUAAUCGCAGAUCAGCAACGCUGCGGUGAAUACGUUCCCGGG
rnacentral:rRNA from 1 species